ensembl:lncRNA
UACAGAUAUUAAAGGCUGUAGAGAGAUGCUGUCUAAUCGCAUCUAGAAAUUGAAAGAACACUAGUAGCUGUGCACAGAUGCAGUUCAUAUUUUCCCCCAAUCUUGAUGGGAUGUUCUCUUUUCUUUAGGCGUCACAUCGAUCAGAGCCUGAAGUCACAGUCCAGGAGCUUGUCAAACCCUUCAACAACCACAAUACCAAGACUAGUAGUACUAUUACUUCUACUACUACUACUACAGAACCACAAUACCAAGACUAGUAGUACUAUUACUUCUACUACUACUACUACAGAACCACAACUACCAAGAGUACUACAACAGAACCAGAAGGAUGGAAACAGCUACCGACUUGGCUCUGGACGACUGAAAUCAUAUCUGUAGCAGCAGCUAUGGACAAGGAGACAGUGGUCAUAAUCCUACAAGGCACGGAGAAAGUCUCCUCUUUUGCCGCCACCAUCAACCCACUCUUCGACAUAGUCACUGCAGUGGUGAAGUUGACAUAGGACCUGGUCGCCAAAGACCUCACCCAAGACCAGGACGCCGACGAAUUCGGCCACAUCCACGCCAAGCUGGAAAACAUCUCCAAGAUAAACCAGCAGAUUCUGAAGCAGAGUCAACUGGACGAGGUCAAUGAGAAGUACAGAAAGUAUGAAGAGUAUAUCAAGCACCAGUACACCACCCCCAACACCAUGGUGGAACAGAUCGAAAAUGAGUUCAGAGUUCCAGAGGGUCUAUGAGAGAGACAAGCUUACCCUUUCUCUAGACACAUAACACUUCUGAACAAAGAGGUUUGCUGGAGGUGUACCUAGAGCAUUACAAGCAAAACCGAGACGUCAUGGAGAAAAAGUGUUCCCAAUUGGCUAAUAUCUUUCACAUGGGCCUGAUGACACGAAUGGCAUAUACAGUGGUCAGAGAGGAGGGUGAAUGUUGAAGUCAGGGAGAAAUGGGCCCCCAGGGUGGAGAAGAUUCAGGCCAAGAUGGAUGAGGCGCUGGCCCAGUGUGAGGGGAACUGAUCCUCAUCCACUCCCAGGGUCGGGUGGCAUAUGAGGGCUUUAAAGGGAUACUUUGGGAUUUUGGCAAUGAGGCCCUUUAUCUACUUCACCAGAGUCAGACCAUUUUUAUGUCUGUUGUCCAGUAUAAAGGAAGUUAGAGGUAGUUAUGUGAGUCAAUGCUAACUAGCAUUAGCGCAAUGACUGGAAGUCUAUGGGGUUGUAACGUUUCUCGUCUUCCUCUGACGAGGAGUAUGACAGAUCGGACCAAUGUACAGUGUGGUAAGUGUCCAUAAUAUAUUUUAAUGAAAUAUCACUGGACACAGAAAACAAAAGGAACAAGAGAAAUAAAUGAAAACCAACACAGUCCCGUGUGGAACAAACACUGACACGGAAAAAUAAUCACCCACAAAACACAGAUAGGAAAAGUCUACCUAAGUAUGAUUCUCAAUUAGAGACAACGACGACAACUGCCUCUGAUUGAGAACCAUACUAGGCCAUGAAUGUAAGAUUAACCAUAAUGGGUAUCUAUUUGAACAGACAUACACACAUGCAAAUCUAAUAGUGCCACUGAUGCAACCUAGCACUUUCAGUAUCAAAUAAAUAAAUAAACAUUAUCUAUCCUGUGGACACUAUUAACAGAGCAUGCUGAUUGUGAUUGUAAACCAACCAAGUGCAGUGACAACACUAAACUAACCACACAGCAAUACAAAAGGUCAAAGUAAACAUUAGCUUUAAGUGCUUCCUCUCUUAUGUGUUCUCUUGUAUCUCAGAGAAAUUAAGUAUUAGAACAAAUCUUUGUUUGUUUUUCUAAGGGUGUGUUCAUAAAUUCACUCUGGCCAUCUACUCCGAUU